UAAAGAAAUCCGCGCUGGUGUACCCCAGGGCGACAGCGGAGGGCCCUUGGUAACAGCGGGGGUAUCCGGACUGGAGCAAGUGGGCGUGGUCUCCUGGGGAACGGGCUGCGCAAGGCCUGGGAAACCGGGUGUCUACACAAGGGUGACAGAAUAUCUCGCCUGGAUCGCUGCUAUUGUGGGAAGCGAGGACCAGUGUACCUGAAGCUGAAGAAAUACCCGUUUGGAUUUGAUUGUUAUUGUUAAAAUAUACAACAGAGAAAUUCAG